UUGGUCAAAAUGGUCCACGACCCAAAUAGAAGCGUAUCUUGUGGAAUAUACUCUUGUACUCAGAGAAUAGAGGAGGCCAUUCAUCUACCAGAACAACUAUCCAUAUUUGCAGCUGAAGCCUAUGAAAUACUAAGUCUUUAACAAUUAUAUUAGAGAAAUGAAUAUCAAAAAUGGUGAUCAUUACUGACUCCCGAAGUGUGCUUGAACGCGUAAAGAAGUGCGAUCUUAAAUCUCGAUUGCACCUUUACAUCAUAGAGAUGCAAAAUUUAUUGCAUACGGUCUACGAGUCUGGUUUUGAAGUAAUCCUGGUUUGGGUUUCGGGACACGUCGGGGUACUAGGUAUCGAGAGAGCAUGAAGAAGAGUGAAAAUUUAUGGCGAAGAAUUUUUUCAUCAAAUCGAAAGGGAAUUAAAAGAAGCAUUGGAACAAGUCUGGAGAAGAUCAAGUCUGGUAAAAGGAAUAAACUACGCCAAAUGUCAGUCUUCGGUUCCGAAAAAUCCCUUGUUUAAGAGUUUUCCUUUCGUAUCACGACGUUUCUCCACGCGCUUAGUCAGAUUAAGAAUGGGCUAUGCAUUAACCCCGACAUAUUUGCACAAAACCGAAAUUAAACAUAAUCCGUUGUGCAGAUGCGGAGAAGAGACGUCCAUCACAUCCUUUUUAAAUGCCAUGGUAUGAAAUACCUCGUAGUAAAAUGAGGACCAGCCGCAUAAAAAGAAGUUGCGAACUCUUUCGACAUAUACCGUCCGCUUUAUAAUUUUAUUCCCACGGCAUGCAUACAAUUGUAAUGUUUCAACCUACCAAAGUUGAACGGUAAUACCCCUACAGAGUCAUGUGAACUUAUACUUAACUCUCACACAAAAUUUUAUCCUUCAUUUUUCCAAAGACAUGAUUCCUAGGGUCCUCCUAGACCUCCAUAAGACGAAUCACCGGAGCUCUGGCUCCCAGAAGAACCUCCUUAUUUACAUCCUUUCUUUUGGUUUCGUUUUAGUUUGUACUUGUGACUGUUUUGAAUUGAAAAUAAAAAAAAAUUCACUGGGAAGUUCUAACUCCAAAACCAUACCUGAAGAAAUAACAAAACAGGAUUUUAUAUAGAUUAUGUUUUCAACCAUAGAAAAUAGUAUAAAUAUUACUAUUUAGUAAAAAUUAAAAGCUUAUCUAGCAUUUUAUGUUGCAUUGAUCAUUGAUCUUGAGCAAUCUUGACGAUCCUCAAGAUGUCGCUGGGUCAUAACGUGUAAACGUCAAAAUUCAGAUGGCAGCAUAGAUUUCGAUUUAGCAACUAUCAGUGUGACACGAUGAAAAUUACACAAAACAGGCUUUUAUAUAAAUUAAGUUUUCAACCAUGGAAAAUAGUGAUGAAUUGGUCUUGACGAUCUUCAAGAUGUUGGGUCAUAACAUGUCAAAAUCAAAAUCUGGUCAAAAAUCAGGUAUUUUUUUCAAAAUAAAUAAAAUCCGCAUCUAGUUAAUUCAACAUUGAAUUCACUUAAACACCGGAAAAGUAAGAGCUCAAUCUUAUGUUUUUGUUAAGCAU